rnacentral:rRNA from 1 species
AUCUACAGCCAUACCACCCUGAACGUGCCCAAUCUCAUCUGACCUCAGAAGCUAAGCAGGGUCCAACCUGGUUAGUACUUGGAUGGAAAUCAGAGCAGUGGUUGACU